UGCCUGCAGACCCCACCGCGCCUGGUCCCCGCUCGGCUCUGAUCCGUGGAGCCCCAGCACUUGGCUGGACCUUCGUGGCCCUCAUACUUCGCGGUGCCCGGAGGUGGUUUGGAACCGAUAAUGAGCCUCUUGGUCAGUGCCAAGGGCUGGGGAAUGAUCACAGGUCUGUGUUUACCACAAAAACCUGCCUUCUGUUUCUUGAGUCCCUGAAAUUCCAGAGCUGCCUCUCUAGCACUGAUGAGAACAGGGGACAUGGAAGGAGUGAGGUUUGGCGGCUGUGGAGCCCCUCAGAAGCGCUACACAGCAUUGUGUCUGUGCUCUGUCUUUGGAAGGAAAUUUAAUUAAUUGUGACUGGAAAUCUCACCCAAAUACAGCCAUUUCUGAUGGCAUGCUUUUCCAUAGAUUCAGCUGUACAAAAUUGUGGGGAAUCUGUAGCCAGAAAAUGAACAAUGCAUCAAAUGUGGGAAACCAGCCCGGUUUUGGCCACAAAAGCUCUGUGCCUUUGAUCCUGUUAUGGGAAUGUUGAAGUAAAUGAACCAAACAGCCCUCACAUCUACACAUACUUGGGAAAAAUCUAAUUGUUUGCAUUUUUUCCCUUCCAACAGUGAACACCCACCUGUUUUUUCCAGAGUAGCACAACUGGUCUAUAUGGAACAUACUGGGAAGCCAAGUGGGCAAUUGCCUGUGCUGUUUAUUUUUAUAGGGCACUUGACAGCAUUGGAAAACACUGAGCACACAGAUAGCAGCACUAAUGGCAGAGAUUGGGAUGGAUGAAUAAGGAUUAGCCCUCACAAGGGUACAGGAUGGGCCAUAUCUCCAGAAAACAAGCCUUGUUGAAAAAAGCUCUGCAGCUAAUGAUGGAAAGCUGAAACCAGGUAAAAAGAACCAAUACUGAUAUUAAAAUUUAAUUGCAUUGAAAAUAUCCUUGUUCUGCAUUUAUGCUUUGAGCCUGUCUCUGAUUUAUUUACACUUACACAGAUCAAAAGAAACUCAGUUUAAAAUUACAGAGAAAAGAAACUAGCACAAACUGUAUAAAGCUCAGUGCCAGCAUUCCACUGUGAUGAAAUACCUGUGAUCUUAAAAUAGCUGAUAUGGUGACUGUUCUAUAAUUAGAUCAAGAUUUAAGUCUAUACAUUGUUCUCCAGCAAAAACAGACUUCCUAUUCACCAGCAGAUUUUUUCCAAAAAAUAUUUUGACUAUUACCUUUAUGUAGCAACUAAACUUGAAUAAUGUAAUUCUUUAUUCAGUGCAUUAUUGUUUGAGCAAUUUCUUUCUGCAAGUAACACAGAUCUUCACAAGGCUUGAAAUUAAUUUGCCUUAUUGUUUGCUUUUUAUUUCUCUUUAUUACACAGAGUAGUUACAAGGUGGCAAUAGACUAAUCUCUGUGCUUUAACAAUCCACACAGGUGUUCAUUUGCUAAAUGUUUUAAACCUGAAAUGAACCAUAUCAGAACUAGCAGACUAUUACCAGUUAUUAAAGGUUUCUUGUGGAACAUCUGACACCUGUAUUAAACUUGAAAUUGAAAGCUCUGUAAAUGUGAGUGCUUCACAUGGGUCCCCAGCCCAAUUACAUUAAACUCAUGAACUACAGUUUGGGGACGAGACUGUGCUAUGGUAAUUCCCAGCAUGAAAUUGUCUCUUAACAUUGAAAUCUAUGAAGCGAAGAAGUAGUUUAGAAAUUUACUGGCUGUACAGUGAAAAUGCAUAUCUUUAAAUUAGAACAAUUUUCCUAGCAGUGCCUUUAUAGUUUGGGCAGUCCUUCCUUCAGAAUUGCAAGCACCAGGAAGAAACAUUUACUUGCUUGAUGAAAUAAAAAACAUCAAAUGGAGUUCUUGGCCUUUUAUUAGGCGAAAGGCUUUGCACAUUUGAUCUGAGUAUAAAACUCAGUGGGAAAAUCUGGAGCAUAAAUUUGAACUAAAUACUUAUGAUUUUCUUAGGACAUGAUAGCAUUUAUCCAUUCCCUGAAAAAAACCCCCAAAACCUCUGAUAUACAGAAGUGUAUUUAUGAUACUGAUUGGCUGUUGGUUUGUUUGAGUUUGAUGCUUUUGGGUUUUUUUUCCCGCAUCUCUAAUUGCAAUACUAAUCAUUGAAUAUUAAUAAUAUGCACCACUGAAAAUAAUUAGUUCUAUUUGCAACAAUUUGAAGAAGGCAAGCUUCAAAAGCAUUUUCAAUAAGGGUUACAAGGAAUCUAAUUAUUUACAACAUGAGAUUUACAGUGUUUGAUUUACUGCAGCAAGUACAGAAAGGUUUAAAGUGAGUUGAGGACUUGUAACAUUGUCCCUCUGUAGCUGAUCUUAGUUUUUGGAACCAAAGGAAACAAGCUGAGCUUGCUUCAUGGAGCACCUAGAUCUAACUCAGCACAUGCCUCAUGCAAAAAAACCUCACCAAACAGCUGAAUUUGUUCAAUUCCUACUUAGGACCAAAGCUGUAAAAUAUUGCAAAAAUACAGUAUUUGUAGAAACUCCAUCUCCUAAUGAUACCACAAACAGAACAAUUACUUUGGCAUUAAUACCAAUGCACAGAGCAUGGGGGUUGAGAAAAGUAAGAUGCACAAAUGCACUACUUAGGAGCUUUUCCUGCAGUGAAUUAGUUUUUAUCUUUAUGGACUUUUUUUUUCUCAGCUGAUAAAAAUGAGUAUAAUCUUUUAAGUUUCAAUCUCCUCAAAAUACCUUCAGUGGUACAAGAAGUUAACUCCAUAGAAAUCUUCAAAGGCUGCUUUCUACUGGAAUGCCUCGGCUCUUGCAGACAGCUCUUGCUUAAUCCCUGGCCUCUCCUGACAAUGUAAGGUGUGCCUGUGUUGGUGGUUUUGACAUUUCCCUUCCUGCCUCUUCUGUGAACAUAAAUGUUUGUAAUGGCCACACAUCAAGACAAUUACAAGCAGCUGAUGAUACCAAGAUGGAGCUCUCGCUACAAUCCUGUAAAAAACUUGUUUCUUAAUCAGUUCAACUCCUGACAGUGAUUCAAGAUUAGGACUUUUAAAAUUAAACAGGAAAGAAAAAGCACUUUUUGUGAGAGCUAUGGCAUACAGCUUUUAAGAAUAUAUUGCUCUCAGUGCUAAGGGUGGUCCAUACACUCAGUAGAAUUAAUGUAGAUGGUUACAAGGUAGUUCCAAGUUUUCCUGAGGCACAGAGAUUUAACAGAAAUAAACUUCAGAGGUAGGGGAAGGAACAGAAGUAUUAAAAUGAGAUAAUUAGGCUAGAACAGCAGAAAGGAAGCUCACACAGCAAGGGGCUUUCCAAGAGAUUAAACCUUUAUGUUUGAAUAAAUCAUUACCUACACUGAAGGAGUAGAAAAAAAAAAAGAGCUUGCUUUUCUGUUGAUUGAACAAAGAGAUAGACCAAAGGAAAGAGCAUACAAGGGACAGUGAACAAUAGAAUGAUUGAUACUAGAGGAGCUUCAGAACUGAAGAACUUCUCUUUAGAACAAAUGUUUGAAAAAAAAAUGAAGAUCCCAUGAUUAGCUAAGUAAAUGGCUAUGGGAAUUACUGCAUGUUCAAGUAAGAGCAUGCUGUGUGAGUGAAAACAAUGAGGAUGAAGAUGACACUGAGUCCAAUAGUGAUGAUGACAGAGACAUGGAUACUUUUAGUAUAAAUCUUCACAGUUAGAGUUGUGAGUUCAUCCAUGUUACCAGCAAUAUCCAAAAUUCAGUGAAUAUCUGCUCCAGGCCAGACACUUGAGUAGGCACAGUGUGAUGCUGUACUCCAGGAUGCUGGUGCACUGUGCAAUACUCUAUUCAAAUCCCGUGUUGUUUGACCUCCUUCAUGCCGAGACCCUUUCCUCUUCUUCCUGCCCUUCUGUGUCACAUGCAUCCUAUCUGUAAGCCUUUGCUUGACUUCAGAACAGCUCAAAAGUUGGCUUUUUCAAACCCUAAAUUUCUUAUGAUGUAUCUGUUUUCUUUUAACACAUGCCUCGACUUCAAAAAAUGUAUGUCCUGUGAGAUUUCAAAUGAUGUAUUAGCUAUAUAUGGAUAAUCCCCUCAAAGACAUCUUCUAGUACUUGUGGAGAAGUCAUGGAAAAACAAAACCUCUGCUAGUCCCAGACAAGUAGGAACUGCAAGCUCUAAGAAAGUCUAAUACAUUCAUCUUUAUUUGAAGGCAGGUUUCUUUACUUAAUUGAUAUAAGGAUGGUAGAGACAAUCUAUCAAGAACAUUUCCUGAA